CGCCUCUUGCAAAACCAAUGAAUAAGAGGUCUCGCCUGCCCUGUGACUAUAUGUUUAACGGCCGCGGUAUUUUGACCGUGCGAAGGUAGCGCAAUCACUUGUCUUUUAAAUGGAGACCUGUAUGAAUGGCACAACGAGGGCUUAACUGUCUCCUCUUUCCGGUCAAUGAAAUUGAUCUUCCCGUGCAGAAGCGGGAAUAACUACAUAAGACGAGAAGACCCUAUGGAGCUUUAGACAAAAAGCAGACCAUGUUAAGCACCCUUAGAUAAAAGGCUAAACUCGAUGACUCCUGCCCUAAUGUCUUUGGUUGGGGUGACCGCGGCGAAACAAAUAACCCCCGCGAAGAAAGAGGGCUCCUCCCUCCGAACCGAGAGCUCCCGCUCUAACGAGCAGAACAUCUGACUAUUUAAGAUCCGGCACUGCCGAUCAACGGACCGAGUUACCCUAGGGAUAACAGCGCAAUCCCCUUCUAGAGCCCAUAUCGACAAGGGGGCUUACGACCUCGAUGUUGGAUCAGGACAUCCUAAUGGUGCAGCCGCUAUUAAGGGUUCGUUUGUUCAACGAUUAAAGUCCU
rnacentral:rRNA from 1 species